CCUACGGGUGGCAGCAGUGGGGAAUAUUGGACAAUGGGGGGAACCCUGAUCCAGCCAUGCCGCGUGUGUGAAGAAGGCCCUCGGGUUGUAAAGCACUUUCAGUGAGGAAGAACGCCUGGUGGUUAAUACCCAUCAGGAAAGACAUCACUCACAGAAGAAGCACCGGCUAACUCCGUGCCAGCAGCCGCGGUAAUACGGAGGGUGCGAGCGUUAAUCGGAAUUACUGGGCGUAAAGCGCGCGUAGGUGGCUUGAUAAGCCGGUUGUGAAAGCCCCGGGCUCAACCUGGGAACGGCAUCCGGAACUGUCAAGCUAGAGUGCAGGAGAGGAAGGUAGAAUUCCCGGUGUAGUGGUGAAAUGCGUAGAGAUCGGGAGGAAUACCAGUGGCGAAGGCGGCCUUCUGGACUGACACUGACACUGAGGUGCGAAAGCGUGGGUAGCAAACAGGAUUAGAUACCCUAGUAGUC
rnacentral:rRNA from 1 species